rnacentral:rRNA from 1 species
UACGGAGGGUGCAAGCAUUAAUCGGAUUUAUUGGGCGUAAAGGGCGCGUAGGCGGAUAGAUAAGUCAGACGUGAAAUCCCGGGGCUCAACCUCGGAACUGCAUUUGAAACUAUCUAUCUAGAGGGUAGGCGGAGAAAACGGAAUUCCACAAGUAGCGGUGAAAUGCGUAGAUAUGUGGAAGAACACCGGUGGCGAAGGCGGUUUUCUAGCUUAGACCUGACGCUAAAGCGCGAAAGCAAGGGGAUCAAACAGG